rnacentral:tRNA from 7 species
GGAAGGGUGCCAGAGUGGUUGAAUGGGCUCGCCUGGAAAGCGUGUAUAGGCUAAACCCCUAUCGAGGGUUCGAAUCCCUUCCCUUCCGCCA